rnacentral:rRNA from 1 species
GUGGAUUAGAUACCCUGGUAGUCCACGCUGUAAACGAUGGGAACCUGACGUCGGUUUGCUCUGCGAAUCGGUGUCGAAGCUAACGCGCUAAGUUCCCCGCCUGGGGAGUACGGCCGCAAGGUUGAAACUCAAAGGAAUUGACGGGGGCCCGCACAAGCGGUGGAGUAUGUGGUUUAAUUCGAUGCAACGCGAAGAACCUUACCUGGGCUUGACAUGCUCGGAAUCCUGCAGAGAUGCGGGAGUGCCCGCAAGGGAACCGAGACACAGGUGCUGCAUGGUCGUCGUCAGCU